UACUAGUAAUAGAUUAGGAAAAUAUGUGUAAUGAUACAACAUACUUCCUCACAGAAGAAUGAUAAUAUAACAGCAAAAUUAUAUGAGCAGACUACAGCCUUGUUUUGAUUUAUGUGUCUGAAAACUGUUGUAGUGACAUUAUACCAACAUAUGACACACAAUUUCACUGUUGUGGCCUACUUUAGGUUUCUUGCAUGAAGUGGAUGACAAAGAAUAAAUAACGAGGAUGAAGUCGAACCGAGUAGAUGAAGAUUACAGAUAGUAAAGCUCUGCUCUGAAUUCAUUCAGUUUGUCGUUGUCUUUGACAUCGCCUGCUUGACAGCCUCCGCGUAUGUCCUAUGUUGGUAAGUGAGUGUGGAUUCAAGCAAGUCCCAUAGGGAUGUCUUUGGGUUCCAACCGAGCUGUCUGUUGAUUAUGGUCAUGUCUGGAAUCCGCUUGUCACUGUCAUCAUACCCCUCGCCAUAAAAUUCUUUAGAACUAACAUCGACGGUGGGAGUUUCAAGAGGGGUUUCUCCACUCACUUUUGAGUACACCUGAGUCAUCAUUUCAGCUAGCUGCUUGACAGUAACUUCGUUAUUAGGAUUGCCGACGUUAAAGAUAUGGCCGUUGGCCCGAGCAGGAUUUUCAAUCAUCAGGGAAACAGCUUCAAUAGCAUCCUUGAUAUAUAUAAAAGUUCUCUGUGAUUCCCCACCAUCCACUAAUUUCAGCGGUUCACGUCUUAAGAGGUUAUUACUAAAGCAAGCUAACACUCUUGGAACACCUUCACUAGGACCAUCAAUGCCGGGAAUAAAAUCCAUCCUAGGACCAAUCCAGUUAAAUGGCCUUACAAUAGUGAACUCUAAGCCAUUCUCCGCACCCUCAGCAUAGACCAGCCUCUCAAUCAACUGUUUUGCACAUGCAUAGGACCACCGCUGCUUCUCAAUUGGUCCAAAGAUGCAAGGGGAGGUGUCUUCCUUAAGCACAUAAUAAGCAGGAUCCUGCCGGAGUGGGCUGUCUUUCGGUAAAAAGGCACCUAUGGUUUUCCCAUAAACUUCACAAGUUGAGAAGUGAAUGAGACGCUUUCCAUUUUCUGAGCAGUACUUGACCACUGGUAGAGCAUCGAUGAAAUUGCUGUAAAUUGUAUCAAGUGGACGAGUGUUGUAAUCUGCAGGUGUGCAGAUCGCAGCAAGAUUUAUGGUCAGAUCUGCCAUUUUGAUGAGACCUUCAAGGCGAGAAUCAUUCUUAAUAUUGAUUCGAUGAAACUGAAUUCGAUCAGCCCAAGUAACCGUCGCCGGUUCAAGCAAAUGCUUAAUCUUAUCACUGUAAACAUCGACAGCAAGCACCUUAUGAGGAGUCUCCGACAGAAGCUUCUCACAUAAAUGAGAACCAAUGAAUCCACCGGCACCAAUCAUGCAUAUCGUAAUCUGCUUAAUGGGAUUACCGUCCAGAUCUACUCUUCCUGCCAUUUCCAAUUACUGCAAAUCCUCUCUCACUGCAAUUUUUUUUAAGAUACUUUUUUCAGUUUCUCUCUCUAUAUUGAAGUGAAUCGAUA
rnacentral:misc_RNA from 1 species